rnacentral:lncRNA from 1 species
UGCUGGACUGUAGUCGAGGUCCUCCCGAGCCACCCCGCAGCCAGACAGCUAGGACGGCUUUUGCCUUGAUUCUCCUAGAGCGGAGUUCUCCCGGGCUGUCCCCGGGGGCGGCUCCGUGUGCACCUGUGUAGAGCAGGAGGGCGUUCCUAGGAGGAGUGGCCUGGACUCAGCCCCCGGCCCUCGGCUUCCGCGGCUCAGUGGGGUCUCCCAGUCGCCAGGCCCUCGCUUGGGCUCGGCUGCCUCCCAGCUGCGUGACCUUGGGCAAAUCACGUGGCCUCUCUGAGUCUCUUCUGAGACCUGGGCUCCUGGCCGCCGCGCAGGGCGGGGCUGUGGGCGUGGUCACCAGGACAUCGGGCAGCUGUGGUGCCUGCCCUGGGCACCCGGCCCACAUCGCCACGGGGGAUCUGGACGGCUCCCGUGGCAUCUUCCCACGACUUAGCGGGAGGGGAGUGGGGGGCGCUGUUGUGAGUCCCAUUUUACAGGGUAAGAAGCUGAGUCUCGGUGGGGCGGGGGGGGCGGCCUCCUGCCGCAGGCCACGUGGAGAGCCAGGCUGCAAAUCCGGAUCUGCCUCUUGUCCGUGCCGGGAGCAGCCGGGAUCUGCCGACGCGUGGGCUCGUGGCUGCCUGUUAAAGAAGGAAAAUAAAUGACUGAGCGAAAGCGCUGUGUGUGGCAGCCAUUUUCUGCCAAAAAUAUGGGGCGCCUCUGACGUUAAAGAGGCCUUCGAGGGUCGGCGCGGGGGACCCGGCCGUGGGCAUGCUCGGCCCUCCUCCCGGAGCGGCCCCCCGUCUGCUCCUGCCACCCACAGCCAAGACCGCGGAGGGCGAGCCCCCCACCGCCCCAGGGACCCCCAGCACCCUCGGCCGCAGGCUGCACAACUGCUCCGGAGCUGUCGUCAGCUCUUCCAUAACGCUGAGAAAGCCCCCCCCGCCCCCCCAGCUGGAGCACUUUGUCUUUGGUAAGAAGAGCAGGAGCCGGGCUUUGAUUCUCAUUAGCAAACCACAAAUCCCCGGCAGCCUCUCUAGGGGUGCGGCUCACGGACGGAGCCCACUAGAAGCUUCUGGGAGGGAGCCGGAGGCGGCAGGGCGUGCUCUGCGCCAGGAGCUUGCUGUCUGCUGGCGAUGGGUGGAGCUGGUGCAACCCUGUUGUGCCAUGAAGAGAAGAACCUCAGGACCGAAGCUGAGGCUUCCUGGAGAGACUCCUGAUCUUGCCAGUGACCUGACUGGACCUGCCGUCGGGAGCCCCCCGGGCAGGUCUGAGGGCAGGGGCCCUGCUGCCUGGCCGUCACAGACAUUUAUAGAAGAAGAGAAAGACCUGGGUCCCCCAAACCCCGCGUUCAAGUCAGUUUUCAGAAACAACAACAACAACGCAAGCCCCAUCCUGCCCUGGGCUCCUCUGGCGGAGGCCACGCUGGCCACUGGCAUGACUGGCACUAGAGCCCCUGCCGGACCCUCGCAGCCAGGAGCCUGUGCCAGGGGCUGGGAUGGCCUCAGCACCCCCAGCUCCCCGCUGUGUGGGGCUCCGGCGUGUACGGACAGCUCGCGAGCGUCUUCCCUGAUAAUAAAAAUCGUUUCGACAGAAAGGGUGCCCCGUGGGCCUGGGGGGCGCAGGUCGUGCCAAGCGGGCCGGAAGCGCUCUGUGCGAUAUGGCCUGGCGGCGGGCACGGCUGGCGUGGCUGGGAACCCAGGACCCACCGGCCUCUGCAGGAGCACGGAGCCCUGGCGCUGGUGA